rnacentral:rRNA from 1 species
AUUGAACGCUGGCGGCAUGCCUUACACAUGCAAGUCGAACGGUAACAGGUCUUCGGAUGCUGACGAGUGGCGAACGGGUGAGUAAUACAUCGGAACGUGCCCGAGAGUGGGGGAUAACGAGGCGAAAGCUUUGCUAAUACCGCAUACGAUCUCAGGAUGAAAGCAGGGGACCGCAAGGCCUUGCGCCCACGGAGCGGUAGAUGGCAGAUUCGGUAGUUGGUGGGAUAAAAGCUUACCAAGCCGACGAUCUGUAGCUGGUCUGAGAGGACGACCAGCCACACUGGGACUGGGACACGGCCCAGACUCCUACGGGAGGCAGCAGUGGGGAAUUUUGGACAAUGGGCGCAAGCCUGAUCCAGCCAUGCCGCGUGCAGGAUGAAGGCCUUCGGGUUGUAAACUGCUUUUGUACGGAACGAAAAGACUCUGGUUAAUACCUGGGGUCCAUGACGGUACCGUAAGAAUAAGCACCGGCUAACUACGUGCCAGCAGCCGCGGUAACAC